UACGUAGGGGGCAAGCGUUAUCCGGAUUUACUGGGUGUAAAGGGGGCGCAGACGGCGAUGCAAGCCAGGAGUGAAAGCCCGGGGCCCAACCCCGGGACUGCUCUUGGAACUGCGUGGCUGGAGUGCAGGAGGGGCAGGCGGAAUUCCUGGUGUAGCGGUGAAAUGCGUAGAUAUCAGGAGGAACACCGGUGGCGAAGGCGGCCUGCAGGACUGCAACUGACGUUGAGGCCCGAAAGCGUGGGGAGCAAACAGG
rnacentral:rRNA from 1 species